rnacentral:rRNA from 1 species
AGAAUUUGAUCCUGGCUCAGGAUGAACGCUAGCUACAGGCUUAACACAUGCAAGUCGAGGGGGCAGCAUCAUCAAAGCUUGCUUUGAUGGAUGGCGACCGGCGCACGGGUGAGUAACACGUAUCCAACCUGCCGACGAACACUGGGAUAGCCUUUCGAAAGAAAGAUUAAUACCGGAUGGCAUAAUUAUUCCGCAUGGGAUAAUUAUUUAAAGAAUUUCGGUUGUCGAUGGGGAUGCGUUCCAUUAGG